rnacentral:rRNA from 1 species
GGUGAAUGCUGGCGGCGUGGAUAAGUCAUGCAAGUCAAGGGGGCCCGCAAGGGCAACCGGCAAACGAGGUAGUAACACGUAGGUAGACCCCCCAGAGUCGGGCAUAGCCAGCCGAAAGGUUGGGUAAUUCCCGAUAGUCCCGAAAGGGUAAAGGUUUUUCGCUCUGGGAGUUGCCUGCGUAGUAUCAGCUAGUUGGUAGGGUAAUGGCCUACCAAGGCUACGACGCUUAAGGGGAGCUGAGAGGCUGACCCCCCACGAUGGAACUGCGACACGGUCCAUACUCCUACGGGAGGCUGCAGACGAGAAUAUUCCGCAAUGGGCGAAAGCCUGACGGAGCGACGCCGCGUGAUUGAUGAAGUGCUUC